UUCCAGGAUGAAUCUGCUGAGCCCUGCUCUUCCCUCCCCAUAGGAAGGAGGGCCCACAAUCAUUCGAAAGACACAUGAGCUCAUUUGGCUACCCCUCGAUGGUAGCAAUACAAGGAUCUGUGAUGCUUAUGAGACUUCAGGUGUGGAUAUGGAGAAAUUUGUUAUGGGAAGAUAAGCUGCACAUGCCGUUCACUGUUGGCAAAUGUAAAGUAAUGAGAUUACCGGCCAUUCGCAUCGGGCCUCCAGCAGUUUGGAGUUCCUCCCCCUGCUCCCCCUCCCCUGCUGCACUCUGCGAGGGCGGGAACCGGGCUAUGCGCUCCGUGGGGGAGCGCGGCAGCGUGUCCACGCUGUUCUGAGCAGCACGGUGCCAAUUUCAAUGUGUCACUGACUGUGACACAUACAAGAAGCAUUGUGGUUGCAGUGCCUACUAGGAGGAAGCAGAAAUUUCAACAAUUCCAGUUCACAAAGUUCAACAAUAAUGGGAAGGGCAUGGUGUGUGGAAUUCACUGCAAAGUAUCCCAUCCUUAUCCCUCAACUCAGAUGUCUCUCUGUAUAUUCGCCCGCAUCAUAGAGAUGGGUGUCAACCAAGUGCUCGAUCCAAACAUCUCAGAACCUUGGAGAGAAGAAAUGGGAAUAAGAACCCAGAUCUGUAUUGUACAUCUGGCUUUUGUCUCGGUAAUGGGCCAAAACAAAACACUGGAUCCAAACACUGCUUUUGGGGGGGAGGGUGCUUUGGUAUUUUACUACUCAGGCCUAGAUAAUGUACACAUUGAGUCUAUAAUCGUAUAUCGAUAUGAUUUAUUAUUUAUGCAGUCCCAGAGAUGUGCAAAGGGAUUAUAUGUAUAACUUCAUCUUUUCCAGGAAUGCUUACUGUAGCAGGAUGCUGGUGCAAAAGCACCUAAUUAGCCCCUGCCCAGUCAGCUCCAAUCAGGGGAAACAGAUUGGGACUGAUGGAAAAGGCCUGAUGCUGGCCUGAGGAUUGGCAACACCUGCUGGCCUGACAAGCCAAGGGCUAUAAAGGCUGGAAGGGAGCCAGAAGGCUGGGGUUAGCCAGGGAGAAGUCAGUCAGUCAGUCAGGGAACUGGAGGCCUCCUAGCUGAAGGCUGAUUCUGCCUGUAAAAGAGGUUGAAUAAUCCUGUAAAGCUUGUAAAUAGACAGACACUGGUGGUGGGAUAACUGUAAGUAAAUAAAGACACGGGUGUUGCACAACCUUGAAGCCUCUCUGAGCCUUAUUGGGGCAGCAAGCGGGCCCCAAGAAGAGGGGUGGGUCGUGGACCCUGUUAUACUUACCAUUGGAAUACUCUGGGCACAUAGCAGUAGCAAUAGCAUGGGAUUCGCUGAGACCUGCAGUGCGUGACGAGUAUUCACCACUCAGUAGAUUCCCAAGCCCAUUUAUUAUAGCUGUUUUUUCUGUCCUUGCUUCUAGGCAUAUGUACAAUACAAGCAACAACACAUACAUCUCUUCCCUCCCCGACCCCCCCCCCCAAAAAAACACAACAAAACAAAACCAAACAAUCUCCCCAACUUCUACACAAAUAAAUUACGAACUCAUCUCACUUUUUCAAAUCAUCAGGAUGAAGAUAUUCCCUCCCCUUUAUCUCAGUUACCCUCUUGUUAGCUCACCCCACUGUUUGAAAGCCUGGGAGGCAGUGUGCUUAGACUGUUAGAAUAAGGGAGGAAACCCAGAGGCAGAGGGGUCUGAGUGAGAAUACUCUGCCAGUAGCCCCCAGCGUGUUAAACCAAAGAACAAGCUCAAGUGCAUUUACUGAUCUCAGUUGGUGGUACUGGCGUAUGCAGCUCAAGAAGUAACGAUAAGAGAACAACAGUGGGGCAACAAAACUACCUCUAGGUAUAUCACCUAAGCCCUUUGGGGAUGGAUUUCAGUUCCUUUUCACAUAAUACUGGAUGAAGCAUCAGUGAGAGAAAUUCUUUUAGCCUUUUGAAAAUUCUGUCUAGACACCUUGGGAACAUGGUGCACUUCAUCACAUCAAAGUUACUCAUAGGACUUAAACAACCAAGAUAAAUCUAUGUCAACAAGAGCAACAGUAACUUAGGCCAACAACCUUGGCAAUGGCAUUGCAAUUUUUUACUCGUUUUCUGUUUGUUGGGUGUCUCAGUGAAAUCUCAUUGCCUCAGCCCCAUAAUGCAGCCCACUGGUCUGAAAAAAAAAAAAACACUUAAAAACCUCCCCGUUGAGCAAAAUGAAAAAAUUAAAGACUCAGAAGAGGAAAAUGAAUGGCCAUGCUCAGUACUCAGGUCCCAUUUGUCUCACUUUGAUUGGAGCUGAGGUUGUGCGUUCCACAAUGAACUCUGCAGCUUGUAGAAAUCGUCUUCCUCCCAUGGAUAUUGAGAGACACCCAGUGUUUUUUGUUCAUCAGUCUCAGCUGUUUCAGAUACAUAGAAACACAGUUAUAUAGACAUUGCCUUCCUGCAUCAGACUAGUCCAGUCGCUUGUCUCGAACAGUGGCCAGAUUCUUCAGAGGAAGAAGCAAGAACCAUCAGAGUGGACAGUUCUGGAAUAACCUGUCCCAGGGGGAAGUUUCCAUCUAAUCCCAGCCCUUUAGUAGUUGGAUGAGCGUUUAAAUUGUUUAAACUAUCUAAUGUAACAGUGGUGGUUCUCAUUAUCCAUAUAAAUAGCUAAUCCUGCACUGCUGCUGGAAAAGCACAUGAAGGAACAUUGGUACACACUGGGGACUCUGCCGAUUUGCAAGGGUUUUGUUUCCCUGUAGCCCAAAGCCAUUAGCCAUUUGAUCCUGGACAAUUCACAUAUUAAAGACAACAGGGCACCUCCACUGGGUUAACACUUUAGGGUUGGGUUUGUGCUGUGGGAGUGGUGAGCGAGUUGCGAUGCGGUCAUUGUGCAAUGCUUUUGUUUUCACUAUUCACACUUGUUUACAAACGUGUUAUCGGAAGCAUGGAAUCCCAAGUAGCAGUUGAUAUGGAGCACGGAUCCCUAUUCAGGUUAAACUGGUCAGCAUCAUCAGAAAAUCCUGCCCAACAAUGGUGAAAUAGACAGGGACACACCACAAGUUUACUUGGGUCCCCGACAUUUCAGAUCAGCACCACAAGCCCCUCACCUCUCGAGUGCAAAGGAGCACAGCAUUGUGUAUAUCCAGCUGCCAUACCAGAUCCUUCUCCCACCCCUAUUUCCCUUGGCUUUUGCAGCAUAACUCAGCCCCAGGAGAGGCCAGAUACAAGGGACAGAGAUGGUAAACAUUUUGUAAUCUUCCAAGGAGAAAGGACUGCUGUGACUAACUUCCUCAGAUAACAAAGGUGUUCCCAUCCCCCGAUUCCACACAGCUCCCAUUGGUAAGGGGAUGGUAAGAUGGCCGGAGAGAAGGGCAGAAGCACCGUAACUGUAAUUUUCCAAGGGACAAAAGACA